rnacentral:piRNA from 1 species
ACUGAUAGGAUGGGAGGGAGAUC